rnacentral:rRNA from 1 species
GAAAUCUACACAAGCAGUGGAAUAUGUGGUUUAAUUCGAUACUACGCGCAAAACCUUACCAGUUCUUGAGAUAUAGAAAAAGUAAUUUUAAAAGUUAUAUUGAUUUAUUAUAUAAUAAAAUAAAUCGAAUUUUCUAUACAGGUGUUGCAUGGCUGUCGUCAGCUCGUGUUGUGAAAUGUCAGGUUAACUCCGGUAACGAGCGCAACCCUUAUUUUUUGUUAAAUAUUAAUAAAAUAUAAUUAUUAAUAGAUCAAAAAGAAAGUUAAUUGAAAAUUAGAAGGAAGGUGAGGACGACGUCAAGUCAGUAUGGCCUUUAUGAGCUGGGCUACACACGUAUUACAAUGGUUAUUACAAAGAAGAGCAAUGGUGUGAACCGGAGCAAAUUUCGAAAAAUAAUCUUAGUUCGGAUUGUUCUCUGCAACUCGAGAACAUGAAGGUGGAAUUGCUAGUAAUCUCAAU